AGUGGACUAUUGGUUCAGCUCGUUAAACUCAUGAAUACUCCAUAACUCGUAACCUAGCUCACUACUAGAAUUCAACGGGUUCCCUAGAGUUAAAAUUGUUCCCUAGAGUUGUUAAAGCCAUCCAAGGGAAACCAAAAGUAUCCCUAGGGAGCAAAUUGAUAACUCUAAGGGAAAGAAGUAUUCCUAGGGAACUUUGGCUGAAAUGACACGUAGCUACUCCACAUCAGCAUGGUGGUCUGAUUACUUCCAAUAUUUUUUUUCAAUUUUUUUCCUUGCUGCGACCAAGGAACGCGCCCUCGACAUACAAAAUUUCUGCCCAAUAAAUGUUGGGCCCACCUUAUCUUCUCCACAGCUCAAGCAAACCACAUCCUCUCGUUUUUCUUCACCCCAACGGCCGGCCGGCGUGCGGCGGCCGGCCGGCACGGCGGCCCCUGCCCUUUCCUUGACCAAACCUCGAGCUCUAGCAACCGGUCGCCAGCAAGCACCCGACAGCUGCCGCUCUCGACAAGCUCGACGGAGCCUCCUCUCUCACCACACGCCGUUGUCUCCGUCUUGCAUAAGUUGUUUCGAUCCAAUUUUCUCAGCUCCUUUCCUCUCCUUUUUUUUCUUCGUAGCGUGCAGCACAAGAGCGCACUCCAGCAAGCAGCGAGCACCACAAGGUUGCUGAUGCUCCAGCCUCCAUCAUGAUGCUGACCAGCAAUGGAAGUACAAAUCCAAGCAAGGGCUGGAAGCAUUGGAGAACAAACAAGAUUAGUUCCACUUCAGUUCUUUGCGGAUGCAGUUUUUCAAGUUUCCACUGUUGUUGCAGAAGCACGCUAGUAUCAAGUGGUUUAGAUUCGUUUUCAAGAACAUGUGUUGUCUUUUAUGUUUUUAUCGUUUCGAUCUGAGCGAUGAUAGCAUCAGCUCAUCAGCACAUCUGAAGUGUGUAUCAUAUGUUUGUGAGAGGAAUUUUUUGUCAACUUUUCAGCUCCACUUUGUACUACAAAAGUAUAUGUAAACUGAAGAAUCAAUGUAAUUGAGUAUUUUUCUAUUGAUAAUAGAAUGGCAUUUUUAUUUCAA